rnacentral:rRNA from 1 species
CGGGUGCGUAACGCGUAUGCAACCUACCUUUUACUGGGGCAUAGCCCCGAGAAAUCGGGAUUAAUACCCCAUAAUAUUCAUUAUUCGCAUGAAUGAUGGAUUAAAGCUUAGGCGGUAAAAGAUGGGCAUGCGUGACAUUAGCUAGUUGGUGAGGUAACAGCUCACCAAGGCUACGAUGUCUAGGGGUCCUGAGAGGGUUAUCCCCCACACUGGUACUGAGACACGGACCAG